UGACCAUGCAUGAGGUCGUGUCGACAUGCGGGCCCAACCGUUGCCGCAACCCGUUCCACAUCGAGGGACGAUGACGCGGCUUGCUUUGGAAGAAGGGCGCAUCUCUAAUUUGCGGUCAAAGAUCGAAUUCCCAUCGGUUCGCGCAAGCGCCUGCAUGGCUGCAUGUGCGCCUGGCAAUUCAGUUGGCAUCAGGUUGGCGCAGCAUCCUGAAGGUAAUGGUGAAUCGCCGGGUUCUAGCCGCAAGGCUGCCACCACGGCCGAUCGGG
rnacentral:lncRNA from 1 species